rnacentral:rRNA from 1 species
GCUCAGGACGAACGCUGGCGGCAUGCCUAAUACAUGCAAGUCGAGCGGAGUUGAUAAGAAGCUUGCUUCUUUGAUACUUAGCGGCGGACGGGUGAGUAACACGUAGGCAACCUGCCCUCAAGUUUGGGACAACUACCGGAAACGGUAGCUAAUACCGAAUAAUUGUUUUCUUCGCCUGAAGGAAACUGGAAAGACGGAGCAAUCUGUCACUUGGGGAUGGGCCUGCGGCGCAUUAGCUAGUUGGUGAGGUAACGGCUCACCAAGGCGACGAUGCGUAGCCGACCUGAGAGGGUGAUCGGCCACACUGGGACUGAGACACGGCCCAGACUCCUACGGGAGGCAGCAGUAGGGAAUCUUCCGCAAUGGGCGAAAGCCUGACGGAGCAAUGCCGCGUGAGUGAUGAAGGUUUUCGGAUCGUAAAGCUCUGUUGCCAGGGAAGAACGCUUGGGAGAGUAACUGCUCUCAAGGUGACGGUACCUGAGAAGAAAGCCCCGGCUAACUACGUGCCAGCAGCCGCGGUAAUACGUAGGGGGCAAGCGUUGUCCGGAAUUAUUGGGCGUAAAGCGCGCGCAGGCGGUCAUUUAAGUCUGGUGUUUAAUCCCGGGGCUCAACCCCGGAUCGCACUGGAAACUGGGUGACUUGAGUGCAGAAGAGGAGAGUGGAAUUCCACGUGUAGCGGUGAAAUGCGUAGAUAUGUGGAGGAACACCAGUGGCGAAGGCGACUCUCUGGGCUGUAACUGACGCUAG